CUUCUUCGUCCCUUAUUUUGAAAAUGUCAUUAAUUGGUUUUCUAGAGAAGAAUAUGUUUCAUAAACAAAACUAAACAAUUUUAAUAGAAUAGACCAAAUGAUAAAUAUUAAAAAAAAAUUGUAGGCACUUUAGAUGUAGACAUUAAGUUUUUAAUUUUAAUCUUUUAAGUUAGUAUGUUAUCCAGUCAGUAUUAGCUCAAGCCAUGGCCAUAACUACCCUGACAGUAAUAACUGCGCAUCUUUAUGGUUAAGUAUUUUGGAAUGUAGUUUUCACCAAAUAAUUAGUAAGGCCUAAGAAAUCCUCUGUUGAUUUUCAGUACAAUUGAUGAAAACUUAUAGUUGUUUUAUUCGUUGGGAACUUAUGCUGCUAUGAUACUCCAGUUUGUAUAGAUUUAUUUUUGAUACAUCUUAUACUUACCUACAUAUUUAUUUUUUUUUAUUUUUUAGUACUAUGGCUACAGAGACUAAAUUGGAUGUAUGUUUAAAUCAUUUUAUAACCAACAAUGAAGUACACAUUUG